rnacentral:other from 19 species
ACGCAGGUUCCCGCAACUGACACGAACCGUGCGACUUGAAGCUCCGCCUGGUCUUUCCAGGUCUAGAGGGGUAACAUUUUGUACUGUGUUUGACUCCACGCUUGGUCCACUAGCGAGUGUUAGUAACAGCACUGUUGCUUCGUCGCGGAGCAUGAUGGCUGUGGGAACUCCCCCUUGGUAACAAGGACCCACGGGGCCGAAAGCCACGUCCUCACGGACCCAUCAUGUGUGCAACCCCAGCACAGCAACUUUACUGUGAAAGCCACUUUAAGGUGUCACUGAUACUGGUACUCAACCACUGGUGACAGGCUAAGGAUGCCCUUCAGGUACCCCGAGGUAACAUGCGACACUCGGGAUCUGAGAAGGGGGCUGAGGCUUCUUUAAAAGUGCUCAGCUUAAAAAGCUUCUAUGCCUGAAUAGGCGACCGGAGGCCGGCGCCUUUCCACUUACCAAUACUGUUUU